rnacentral:rRNA from 1 species
GACGAACGCUGGCGGCGUGCUUAACACAUGCAAGUCGAACGGAAAGGCCCUGCUUUUGUGGGGUGCUCGAGUGGCGAACGGGUGAGUAACACGUGAGUAACCUGCCCUUGACUUUGGGAUAACUUCAGGAAACUGGGGCUAAUACCGGAUAGGAGCUCCUGCUGCAUGGUGGGGGUUGGAAAGUUUCGGCGGUUGGGGAUGGACUCGCGGCUUAUCAGCUUGUUGGUGGGGUAGUGGCUUACCAAGGCUUUGACGGGUAGCCGGCCUGAGAGGGUGACCGGCCACAUUGGGACUGAGAUACGGCCCAGACGCCUACGGGAGGCAGCAGUGGGGAAUAUUGCACAAUGGGCGGAAGCCUGAUGCAGCAACGCCGCGUGCGGGAUGACGUCCUUCGGGUUGUAAACCGAUUUCGCCUGUGACGAAGCGUGAGUGACGGUAAUGGGUAAAGAAGCACCGGCUAACUACGUG